rnacentral:lncRNA from 1 species
CCAGAUCCAAAGCGUCCAGGGAAGAAUCCUCAUCCUCAGAGAGCCACCCUGCACCACGGCCAAUGCCCUUCCGCACCAUGCUGUGCCCCACGCCUCGCCCAGCACCCACAGAGUAGGAUUCGUUCUCUGUUCCUGAUGUGUCCUCGCUGCUGUCCUCAGGGAAGUUCACGCGGGAGAAGGAGGGCUUCCCCCUGCCCUGCUUUGAG